UGAGUCUAAAUGACGAGUGGCAUCUAGUUAGAAAACUAUGACGAGUGACAUCUAGUUAGAAAACUCUGACGAGUGGCAUAUGAUUGUUGAUGACCUUGAUAUUAGAACAUUAGUGUAGUUGAGACACUCUGAGAUUGGGUACAAGAAUACCUUGAUUCCAAGAUGAUGUUGCCCUUAGAGGGUAGGUUGCUGUUGUUCGUGAGUUGAUCGUGCUCACAUAGCCUGUCUGCGCUUGGAGGGGUCGCUCCCCACAAGCUGUGCACUCCGGAGGUUGGUCACUAGAGGGACAGUCAGUGUGCUGUCUGGACGGUCUGUGUGCUGUCCACAGGCGGUCUCGGGGAGUAGUUCAGUGAGACUUUCCCUAUGAGGCUUACACGUGAGUUAUGCUUGUGAACCUCGAGUUCACCUGAGAUUUGGUUAUUUAGUGAGUCAUACUCAUUAUUGUUGUCCAUGAUAGCUAGCUUUCAUAGUUGUUGUUGUUGUUCAUAGUUGCUUACUUAUCCAGCUUUAUUUAUUGUUCAUACAUCCAUGAUAUCAGAUUGAGGCAUAGCUUCAUAUACCUGUUUUCCAUACCUGCUUUCAGUUCAGCUUAGCUUUCUAUAUAUUGCAUAUACAUUUCUCUAUGCCUGCUUAAGACCUAGUGGGUAGAUCGGCGGAGUCAGCGGCCGAACCCACUGGGAACUAUUCGUAGUUCUCACACCCCACGUUGCAGGUGCUAGUUCGAGCGUCCCGACUGAGCGGGAGGAUCGCGGCAAGGGCUUGGCGCCCUAGCGGUAUCAGUUGAUAGCUUUACCUUCCUACUUGCAUUAGCUCUACCCUGUACUUUUGCUUACAUUUUGAGAGUAGAUGUUGUAUAGGGUGAGAUUUUGGAGAGCAUUGAUGUAUUUACAUUUUGGAAAAGAAUGCAAGUUGUAUUAAAGUUUAAAAUGAUAUCGAAAGAGGUUUAAUAUUUCAAUUAUGUCUCAAAUAGUUAAGUUUCUCUCUUUUGUGUACUUGUAUGCUAUUUACUUGUAUCGCUUGCUCUUUGAUUGUAUAGCACUUUUUGUGCUCUCGUUAUCGUUGUUUGAUUUUGUAUGAAAUCAAGUUGUAUUCCUGGGGACUUGUUGUACACAAUCUGGUUGGUUAGCCUUGGCCGGACAGGGGAGACUCUGUCCGUUCGGCAUCACGCCCGUCGCCCUCGAAAUGGACCAAAUUGGUACCGUUUUCGGGUAGUGCGGUUUCGGGUGUGACAGUUGUGGUAUCAGAGCGAGUAAAGAGCAAGCAAAAGAGAGAGUCUAGGAUGACCUAAGAGACUCUAGGUUGGUUAACCCUAAGGUCAUAGGUGCGUGAGUGCGACGUGGACCUAUGACGCGGCGGAAGCUAAUUGAUUGGGUUUGGAGUUGGUGUUACUCUAGUUAUGGCUAGAGAUGAUUCAAGUGGUAUUAAUUUUUGGCUUAAGGUGAUUGUGUUGGCGGCCGACAACACGAUGCCGAAAGUCGAGAACUAAGACACUUGCAAGCUACCGCCUGAUUGAUGUUGUUUAAUCGUUAUGUUUCGUAAUUACGACGAUGUUGUUGGGUUAAGUAAUUAACCAAUUGUUUGCGUUUAAGGAGCUAUGGCACCAAAGAGACGCUACGUGCGUAGGACCGCUCCGGCACCACCUCAAGAGGUGCCCAAGCCAGCCGUGCCUCCAGUGGCGCCAGGGCCAGCUGGGCCUACUGAGGUGCAGGAGUUGCGAGCGCAGGUUACGGCGCUCACGGGACGAUUCGAUAGGCUCCAGGAGCUACUGGAGCUGUAGAUUGCGGCGGCGGCUGCGGCAGCGGGUCCAGGCCGCGGUCCGCCUGCGUCUUUGGUUCGCGUCCCUGAUGCGGCCCAGGGUAUGGGUGGCGUAUCGGUUCCGGUGGCGGCACAACCCCCACCGGUGGACAUUCCUCCAACGAGUUCGAGUUCUCCUACGCCCGCGGUGGCGGCUGAGGAGGCGGAGCGUGAGCGCGGCUAUGUGGCGCUCACGAGGUUACGAAGUUUCACCCGCCUACUUUCGACGGAGAGGUGGUGGAUCCAGCUGCGGUGGAGUCUUAGCUGACGGCUAUCGAGACUCUAUUCGAGGAUAUCUUCACCUUGGAGAAGGACAAGGUGAACUUGGCCGCUCAUUGUUUCGAGAAAUGGGCCAGGAACUGGUGGAAAAGGGUCAAGCAGGAUCGAUCCCCGGAGCUUCCCCCGAUUGAUUGGGCGGAGUUCCGCAGGCUACUGUUCGCCGAGUACUUCCCCGACAGCGACAAGAGAAAGAUGUGGAAAGAUUUUCGCAAGCUGAAGCAAGGCAACCGCACGGUUCGGGAGUACGAGCGGGAGUUCAACCAUCUCCUGAGCUGCGUCUCGGACGUGGCGGUGACAGAGCAGGACCGGGUGGAUUGUUUUGUUCGAGGACUCCGUCCCGGAGUAUUCAAGACGGUGCAUACCUUCAAGUUCCACACUUUGGCGGCAGCAUUAGACCGCGCGCUAUGGGUCGAGCACGGGAACGUUUGCGAGCGUGAGGACCGUGAGGUGUUCGACAAGGAUAAAGGCAAGAAGAGACAGGACGGUGGUUCGGGCGGACAGUCGAGCUCCAAGAGGCCCCCGAAGUAUCCACGCUCUCAGCCCAAGGGUCGUGGCGCAGAGCGAUGCGUCUUUUGCGGCGGAGACCACCGACUGGUUGUAUGUGAGCAUCGCCGUGGGAGGUGCUUCAAGUGCGGGCAAGCGGGGCAUGUCAUCCGCAACUGUCCUCAAGGAGGAGCUUCGCCCGCUAUGUCGACUGCAUCGGCCCCGGCGGUUCCAGCUCGCUAUGCCUUGCCCCCUCCUGCAGCAUCUACUGGGCGAGCAGCGGCGCCACGCCAACCAGAGCCUGCACGAUCUGCGCCGAGCGGGAGGAUGUAUGCUGUACCCGUGCACAUUGAGGAGCCUUCACAGGCCGGCGAGCGCAACGUUGUGGCAGGUAUAAUUUUGGUUAAAGAUGUUCGAGCUAGAGCUCUAUUUGAUACAGGCGCAUCACACUCAUUCAUUAGUCGAUCAUUCGCACGAGCACAUGAUAUCGAGUAUCAUCUUGGGGAGCAUAUUUGGCAUGUUGAGGGCCCUGGACGAUCAUUUAUGGUUAGGAAGCGAUGUUUGGCAUGUUCAGUGCAAGUAAAUGACUGGGUUAUGCCGAUCGACUUAUUGGUGCUCAAAAGGUUGAAGGAGUUCGAUGUUAUAUUGGGCAUGGAUUGGCUCUCGAAGUACUAUGUCGAUCGAUUGCCCGACGCGAGUUAUCACAUUUCGGGAGCCGGAUCAAGAAGAGUUUACCUAUCGAGCUUGCAAGAGCUCGUGCUUCGCCGCGACAGUGUCGGCAACUAGAGCGAGGAAGUUGGUGAACGGCGGUUGCACAGCUUAUUUGGCGACCGUUGUGGAGAUUGAUCGAGUGGUUCCGACCCUCGAAGAGUUGGCGGUUGUGCGGGAGUUCCCCGACGUGUUUCCCGCGAAAUUACCGGGUAUGCCGUUGGACCGGGAGAUCGAGUUUAUGAUUGACUUGGUUCCCGGUACCGCACCGAUUUCUAAGGCCCCGUAUCGCAUGGCGCCGGCCGAGCUAAGGGAGUUCAGAGAUCAAUUACAGGAUCUUCUCGACAAGGAGUUCAUUAGGCCAAGCGUUUCGCCGUGGGGUGCCCCGGUAUUAUUUGUGCACAAGAAAGAUGGAUCUUUUCGACUCUGUGUGGAUUACUGCGAGUUGAACAAGGUCACAGUAAAGAACAAGUACCCGCUACCCCGUAUCGAUGACUUGUUUGAUCGGUUGCAGGGGUCGCGAGUGUAUUCUAAGAUUGACCUUCAGUCUGGCUAUCACCAGUUAAAGAUCAAGCCGGAAGAUGUUCAGAAGACGGCGUUUCGUACGCGUUAUGGACACUACGAGUUCACGGUGAUGCCGUUUGGGCUUACGAAUGCCCCAGCAGCAUUCAUGAGCUUGAUGAACCGAGUGUUCCAAGAGUGUUUGGACCGAUUUAUCAUAGUCUUCAUAGACGACAUUUUGGUGUAUUCGCGUAGCGACGAGGAGCACGCAGAGCAUUUGCGCACGGUACUUCAAAUCCUUCUGGAGAAGAAGUUGUACGCAAAGCUAAAGAAAUGCGACUUUUGGCUUCGAGAGGUCGCGUUUCUCGGACAUGUUAUUUCCGAGGGUGGAGUUUCGGUUGACCCGAAGAAAGUGGAGGCUAUUGAGAAUUGGACGCGCCCGACAAAUGUAGCUGAGGUCCGUAGGUUUGUGGGCCUAGCAGGUUAUUAUCGACGGUUCGUGGAGGGGUUCUCGAAGAUCGUGACUCCACUUACCCAUUUGACACAGAAAGGCACCAAGUUUGUUUGGGAUGAUGAGUACGACCGGAGUUUCAAAGAGUUGAAGCAAAGGUUAACUUCGACUCCGGUACUCGCCCUACCGGUGCAGGGACAGGACUAUGUCGUCUACAGUGAUGCUUCUUAUCUGGGUUUGGGGUGUGUGCUGAUGCAGGGCGGGAAAGUUAUUGCUUAUGCAUCCCGUCAGCUCAAGAGCUACGAGAAGAAUUACCCCAUUCACGAUUUAGAGCUGGCGGCGGUGAUCUUCACUUUGAAGCUUUGGAGACAUUAUUUAUAUGGCGCUCAUUGCGAGAUUUACACCGACCAUAAAAGCUUAAAAUAUUUGUUCACCCAGAAGGAGUUGAAUAUGCGACAGCGGCGGUGGUUGGAGUUGCUUAAAGAUUAUGAUGUUGAUAUUCUCUACCACCCCGGGAAGGCGAAUGUUGUUGCCGAUGCGCUUAGCCGGAAAUCUGCCGAAAACCUAGCCUUGUGGGUUACUAAUCAGACGCCCCUAUGGUUGCAAAUGGGGAAGAUGGAUCUUGAGGUUGUAGCUCCCGAGAUUCCGGCGAUGUUGAUGGCGCUUGUGGUCCAGCCGACCCUAUUGGACAGGAUCAAAAGUCUGCAGCAAGCGGACCCGUUUCUCCAAAAGGUGCGGCAGAACAUAGUCGAUGGCCGCGGCGGAGAUUUCACUAUGGAUGUUGACGGUGCACUUCGGUUUAAGAACCGGUAGUGUGUACCUGCGGACGAGGAGCUUCGCAAGCUUAUACUCCAGGAGUCGCAUCGGUCUCCUUAUACUGAUCACCCGGGCGGCACCAAGAUGUUCCACGAGUUGCAAUUGCUCUAUUGGUGGCCGGGACUAAAGGCGGAAAGUGCUUAGUAUGCCAACAAGUUAAAGCGGAGCGUCGAUUUCCGGCGGGGAAGCUUCAGAGUUUACCUAUUCCCAUCUGGAAGUGGGAAGACGUAUCGAUGGAUUUUGUCGUUGGCUUGCCUCGAUCGACAGGUGGCCACGAUGCUAUUUGGGUGAUUGUGGAUCGCUUGACAAAGUCAGCACAUUUUAUACCGAUCCAUAACACUUGGGCAGGCGAGAGAUUGGCUCAAGUAUAUCUCGAUGAGAUAGUGAGACUUCACGGGGUGCCGAAGUCGAUUGUAUCAGAUCGAGACCCCAAGUUUAUCUCACAUUUCUGGAGGAGCCUGCAAGAUGCCCUUGGCACGCGUCUCGAGUUUAGCAUUGCAUUCCAUCCCCAGACAGAUGGGCAGACAGAGAGGCCUAUUCAAACUCUGGAGGAUAUGCUGCGAGCGUGUGCUAUCGAUUACAAGGGCGGUUGGUGUAAGCACCUGCCGAUGGCCGAGUUCGCCUACAACAACAGUUAUCAUGCUAGCAUGGGAAUCGCACCGUUCGAGGCUCUAUACGGGCGGAAGUGUCGAUCUCCCAUUUAUUGGAGUGAUGUAGGCGAGCGAGUUGAGUUCGGUCCAGAUGUUUUGCGAGAGGCAGAGGAGAAAGUCCACCUUGCUCGCAAAAGGUUGCUCACGGCGCAGUCGCGGCAGAAAAGCUAUUCGGAAAAACGCCGUAGAGAUUUGGAGUUCGCUGUGGGCGACUGCGUGUUUUUGAAGGUUUCGCCGAUGCGAGGCGUGAAAAGGUUUGGGGUGCGAGGAAAGCUAAGUCCUUGUUAUAUUGGCCCCUACGAGAUCUUGGAGCGAAUUGGGACGGUGGCGUAGCGACUAGCAUUGCCCCCGAAGCUUGCGGGUGUGCACAUUGUCUUCCACGUCUCCAACCUUCGCAAAUACAUGCAUGACCCCGGGCAUGUUCUAGUGUAUGAGCCGCCGGAGCUUCAAGAUGAUAUGAGCUAUGAAGAGUUUUCGGUAGAGAUUUUGGCUCGAGAGGUGCGUAAGCUAAGGAAUCGAGAAAUUCCCUACGUUAAAGUCCGGUGGAGCAAUCAUGAUGAUCGCGAAGCCACAUAGGAGCUCGAGGACCAGAUGAAAGCUAAUCAUCCUCACUUGUUCGAGGAUUGAGGUAAGAGUUUAAGUUCGCGUUGUGAGUUAGUUGUUUCGAGGACGAAACUCCUUUUAAGGGGUGGAGAAUGUGAGAUAUUGAAAUUCGACGAUAUCGGCUAACUUUGGCCAAAUGAACCAAAGUGGGCGAUUGAACGGUUUGGACAAGUUCCAUUCGGCAUUCCAACAAGUUUGGAAGAGCAAAAAUAAGUCCCAAAGGUGUUGGAAUGGUUUCGACAAUGAUCGGCGCGAAGUAGAGCCGAAACGGAGUGAAAACAGCAUUCUGGAGCUGCUGUACCGGUACAAGGGUGAUGGCUGUACUCUACAACCAUCACUGCCUUUAGGUUUGAGGGCUUCAGGUGCUGUACCGGUACAAGGUCCCCUUGUACCGGUACAAACCCGACGAAACCGAGACCCGAGCUCUCGGGUUUGCGCUCGGAUUGGCUGUCACCCAGGCCUUACACCGGUACAAGAACCCGUGUACCGGUACAAGGAGCCCGAACAGCAAGGGCUGUUUUGGAAAAAUAGAAAAAAUGGAGGGGCUCUUUGGAUUUUGUUACAAUAGAGGACAUAAACCCCUCUCUCUUAGCCAUUCCAUCUCACUCUCUCAACCUCUCUCUCCCUCUCACUUAGCUCACUCUCUCUCUAACCGUAAGAAGAAGGAGAAGAAGAAAGAAGGAGACAAAGAAGGAGAAAAGAAGAAGAAAGGGAAGGAGAAGACCAAGGAGAGGAAAAUGAAGCUCUUUUCCUCCUCUUCCUCAAGCUAGGGCUUGCUUUGGAGCAAACCCAAGAGGAAAGCCUUAACCCUAAUGUUGGAUUUCUAGGGUUUGAGGGUUUUUGGUUGGUUUUGAUGGUUCAAAUGGAACCUAAUGAGCUUAGAGAACAUGGAUUUAGCUCACAAUGAAGCUAGAAACCAUGGUUUCCCAUGGGUGCUAAACCUAGGGCUUGGUUUUGAGAUUUUUGGAAAUAUGAGGGAGUGAUAUCUUUUGAUGGGUUAGAAACCUAAUUUCUAUGCUCCCAAAUGCGUAGGCGAAGACGGUUCGUCGAUCCGUCGAGCGAGUGCGCAGAUAUCGCCGAUUUGAUUGCUCUAGGGUUCGUUUUGACCCGAGGCGUUGAAGCGGCGCACUUGGACCGCGACGCCGAGUUUAGUAGCUCUACGGUACUACCAUGAGGUUGGUGGUGACCAUCCCGAAGCAACCGGGCUACCUUCUAUGUCUAAGUUUUAAAAGUCGAUCUAAUUGCAUAUUGUGCAUAUUCAUAUAGGGCUAAAGAUGAAUAUUGUUGCUUAUAAUUGCAUGCUAGUAGCUCAAUAUAUCUUGCUUCGUUGGUUCAUGAUCUAGUAUGCAUGAUGAUUAUAUGAUAAAAACUCUAUGAUAAAGAUCUAGACCCUAUAUAAGAUGAUUAAUGCUUAUGUUGCUAAAGAACUAGUAUGAUGUAACUAGUGUUGAAAAUGAGUCUAAAUGACGAGUGGCAUCUAGUUAGAAAACUAUGACGAGUGACAUCUAGUUAGAAAACUAUGACGAGUGGCAUAUGAUUGUUGAUGACUUUGAUAUUAGAACAUUAGUGUAGUUGAGACCUCUGAGAUUGGGUACAAGAAUACCUUGAUUCCAAGAUGAUGUUGCCCUUAGAGGGUAGGUUGCUGUUGUUCGUGAGUUGAUCGUGCUCACAUAGCCUGUCUGCGCUUGGAGGGGUCGCUCCCCACAAGCUGUGCACUCCGGAGGUUGGUCACUAGAGGGACAGUCAGUGUGCUGUCUGGACGGUCUGUGUGCUGUCCGCAGGCGGUCUCGGGGAGUAGUUCAGUGAGACUUUCCCUAUGAGGCUUACACGUGAGUUAUGCUUGUGAACCUCGAGUUCACCUGAGAUUUGGUUAUUUAGUGAGUCAUAGUCAUUAUUGUUGUCCAUGAUAGCUAGCUUUCAUAGUUGUUGUUGUUGUUCAUAGUUGCUUACUUAUCCAGCUUUAUUUAUUGUUCAUGCAUCCAUGAUAUCAGAUUGAGGCAUAGCUUGAUAUACCUGUUUUCCCUACCUGCUUUCGGUUCAGCUUAGCUUUCUAUAUAUUGCAUAUACAUUUCUCUAUGCCUGCUUAAGACCUAGUGGGUAGAUCGGCGGAGUCGGCGGCCGAACCCACUGGGAACUAUUCGUAGUUCUCACACCCCACGUUGCAGGUGCUAGUUCGAGCGUCCCGACUGAGCGGGAGGAUCGCGGCAAGGGCUUGGCGCCCUAGCGGUAUCAGUUGAUAGCUUUACCUUCCUACUUGCAUUAGCUCUACCCUGCACUUUUGCUUACAUUUUGAGAGUAGAUGUUGUAUAGGGUGAGGUUUUGGAGAGCAUUGAUGUAUUUACAUUUUGGAAAAGAAUGCAAGUUGUAUUAAAGUUUAAAAUUAUAUCGAAAGAGGUUUAAUAUUUCAAUUAUGUCUCAAAUAGUUAAGUUUCUCUCUUUUGUGUACUUGUAUGCUAUUUACUUGUAUCGCUUGCUCUUUGGUUGUAUAGCACUUUUUGUGCUCUCGUUAUCGUUGUUUGAUUGUGUAUGAAAUCAAGUUAUAUCCCUGGGGACUUGUUGUACACAAUCUGGUUGGUUAGCCUUAGGCGGACAGGGGAGACUCUGUCCGUUCGGCAUCACGCCCGCCGCCCUCGAAAUG
rnacentral:lncRNA from 1 species